rnacentral:rRNA from 1 species
CAACGGGUACGGGCGUUGAGAGACGUCGCCCGGAGAUGUACUCUGAGACACGAGUUCAGGCCCUACGGGGCGCAGCAGGCGCUAAAACUGCACAAUACUCGAAACAGUGAUGCGGGAAUUCCAAGUGCCAGGACAAUGUCUCGGUUGUUUUCAUGUAUAAAAAACAAGGAGAGUAAGGGCUGGGUAAGCCGGGCGCCAGCCGCCGCGGUAAUACCUGCAGCCCAAGUGGUGGCCGUUAUUAUUGGGCCUAAAACGUCCGUAGCCGGCUUGGUAGAUCCCUGUGUAAAUCGAACGGCUUCACCGUUCGAAUUGCGGGUAGACCUCCAAGCUUGGGACCGGGAGAGUCACGAGGUACUCCGAGGGUAGAGGUGAAAUUCUGUAAUCCUCGGGGGACCACCGGUGGCGAAGGCGUCGUGAUAGAACGGCUCCGACGGUGAGGGACGAAGCCCUGGGGCGCAAACCGGAUUAGAUACCCGGGUAGUCCAGGGUGUAAACGCUGUGGGCUUGGUGUCGGCAGUCCUACGGGGGCAGCCGGUGCCGGAGAGAAGUUGUUAAGCCCACUGCCUGGGGAGUACGGCCGCAAGGUUGAAACUUAAAGGAAUUGGCGGGGGAGCACCGCAACGGGAGGAGCGUGCGGUUUAAUUGGAUUCAACGCCGGG